GGUUAAGCGACUAAGCGUACACGGUGGAUGCCCUGGCAGUCAGAGGCGAUGAAGGACGUGCUAAUCUGCGAUAAGCGUCGGUAAGGUGAUAUGAACCGUUAUAACCGGCGAUUUCCGAAUGGGGAAACCCAGUGUGAUUCGUCACACUAUCAUUAACUGAAUCCAUAGGUUAAUGAGGCGAACCGGGGGAACUGAAACAUCUAAGUACCCCGAGGAAAAGAAAUCAACCGAGAUUCCCCCAGUAGCGGCGAGCGAACGGGGAGCAGCCCAGAGCCUGAAUCAGUGUGUGUGUUAGUGGAAGCGUCUGGAAAGGCGCGCGAUACAGGGUGACAGCCCCGUACACAAAAAUGCACAUACUGUGAGCUCGAUGAGUAGGGCGGGACACGUGGUAUCCUGUCUGAAUAUGGGGGGACCAUCCUCCAAGGCUAAAUACUCCUGACUGACCGAUAGUGAACCAGUACCGUGAGGGAAAGGCGAAAAGAACCCCGGCGAGGGGAGUGAAAAAGAACCUGAAACCGUGUACGUACAAGCAGUGGGAGCCUCUUAAUGGGGUGACUGCGUACCUUUUGUAUAAUGGGUCAGCGACUUAUAUUCUGUAGCAAGGUUAACCGAAUAGGGGAGCCGAAGGGAAACCGAGUCUUAACUGGGCGUUAAGUUGCAGGGUAUAGACCCG
rnacentral:rRNA from 1 species